rnacentral:rRNA from 1 species
UACGAAGGGGGAGCUAGCGUUGCUCGGAAUUACUGGGCGUAAAGGGAGCGUAGGCGGAUAGUUUAGUCAGAGGUGAAAUCCCGGGGCUCAACCUCGGAACUGCCUUUGAUACUGGCUAUCUUGAGUAUGGGAGAGGUGUGUGGAACUCCGAGUGUAGAGGUGAAAUUCGUAGAUAUUCGGAAGAACACCAGUGGCGAAGGCGACACACUGGCCCAUUACUGACGCUGAGGCUCGAAAGCGUGGGGAGCAAACAGG